NNNCGCGUAGCUCAGUUGGAAGAGCAUUGGGCUAGUAUUCCAAAGGUCGUAGGUUCGAAUCCCACCGUGGCC
rnacentral:tRNA from 1 species